UGCCAGCAGCCGCGGUAAUACGUAGGUGGCGAGCGUUGUCCGGAAUUACUGGGUGUAAAGGGCGUGUAGGCGGGAUGGUAAGUCAGAUGUGAAAUUCCAGGGCUUAACUCUGGGUGUGCAUCUGAAACUACUGUUCUUGAGUACUGGAGAGGGAAGCGGAAUUCCUAGUGUAGCGGUGAAAUGCGUAGAUAUUAGGAGGAACACCAGUGGCGAAGGCGGCUUUCUGGACAGUAACUGACGCUGAGGCGCGAAAGCGUGGGGAGCAAACAGGAUUAGAUACCCUGGUAGUCCACGCUGUAAACGAUGGAUACUAGGUGUAGGAGGUAUCGACCCCUUCUGUGCCGGAGUUAACACAAUAAGUAUCCCACCUGGGGAGUACGGCCGCAAGGUUGAAACUUAAAGGAAUUGGCGGGGGAC
rnacentral:rRNA from 1 species